CCGUGCUAGACGGGGAGCUAGCGGUGCCCUGUAGCCCACGAUCCGCUCCAGUGGGGUCGAAUUCCCUGCCGAGGCUUCCCUCUUUCUGGCCGGUGCCCUUGCACGUGGCGUUGAAGGCCGGGGUCCUGCGCGAAGGGCUUCCCGCGAAUCCCGUCAGGACCGGAAGGUAGCAGCGGUAACGGGACUGUUCCUUGUGCGGCAGUCAACCUCGCCGGAGCCGGCGGCUCGGGACACGCAGGGAGAGUGCUGUCGGAGCAGGGUGCACGG
rfam:Candidatus Aminicenantes bacterium RBG_16_66_30 RBG_16_scaffold_29467, whole genome shotgun sequence.